rnacentral:rRNA from 1 species
UACGAAGGGGGCUAGCGUUGUUCGGAAUUACUGGGCGUAAAGCGCGUGUAGGCGGUUGUCCAAGUUGGAUGUGAAAGCCUUGAGCUUAACUCAAGAAAUGCAUUCAGGACUGGGCGACUAGAGGACCGGAGAGGAUAGUGGAAUUCCCAGUGUAGUGGUGAAAUACGUAGAGAUUGGGAAGAACACCAGUGGCGAAGGCGGCUAUCUGGACGGUUUCUGACGCUAAGACGCGAAAGCGUGGGGAGCAAACAGG